CUGCACAUUUCACUUUGUAUUGCAUUUACAGUGCCAUUAAGUGUAUCACACUUUUUGCCAGGAUAUUGAGGGGUACCUGGGAUUAAUGGGUAUAGAAGGGACUGAAAGGUGUUGGCUGGUGGACAGGGAGAGAAACAACACCCUGUUAAUGUUCAGCCUUUCUUUGUUAAAAGAGGUCACUGGAUAGUAGCCCCAGUGAGCACCAUGUGCUGGUGGUGACAUUUCACUUUUAAAGUCUCUGCUCAGC